rnacentral:misc_RNA from 1 species
GGAAACGGGAAGCUGCAUCUCUCCUAAUUCAGUUCCCACAACAAAAUCAAUCCUCUUGUAGCCCCAAGUCCAUAUUAUAUUCUGUGCAAGCAUGCGAACAUUAUCACAGACAGGCAUGUACCUUUCCAAGAAUUACAGAUUGGUCGUCCAGGUGAAAUUUGCGCAUAUACUUCAGCAUCUCCAGUUGCUGUUCAUGCAAUUUUUGUUGACUCUGCAUUUUUUCAGUAAACUCUUUUGGUCCAAGCUCAGCUUCAUCACAGGCC